GAGUUUGAUCCUGGCUCAGGAUGAACGCUGGCGGCGUGCUUAACACAUGCAAGUCGAACGAAGCACUACCGACGGAACUUUUCGGAGGGAAGAUGGUAAUGACUGAGUGGCGGACGGGUGAGUAACGCGUGGCAACCUGCCCCAUAGAGGGGGACAACAGCUGGAAACGGCUGCUAAUACCGCAUAACAAGGAGAGAGCGCAUGUUCUUUUCUUCAAAGAUUUAUCGCUAUGGGAUGGACCCGCGUCUGAUUAGCUGGUUGGUGAGGUAACGGCGUCACCAAGGCGACGAUCAGUAGCCGGCUUGAGAGAGUGGACGGCCACAUUGGGACUGAGACACGGCCCAGACUCCUACGGGAGGCAGCAGUGGGGAAUAUUGCACAAUGGGGGAAACCCUGAUGCAGCGACGCCGCGUGAGUGAAGAAGUAUUCGGUAUGUAAAGCUCUAUCAGCAGGGAAGAUAAUGAUGGUACCUGACUAAGAAGCCCCGGCUAACUACGUGCCAGCCGCCCGG
rnacentral:rRNA from 1 species